rnacentral:lncRNA from 1 species
UUGAGGGUCAAAUGAAGAUCUGUUUAAUGGGGGCUACCUGCCCGGUAUUUAUGCAGGUCUCCACAAGGUGGACACUCCCCGAGAGGACCUUGUGGAAGACUGUAAGACAUAUUGGACAGUAGCCAAUCGCAGUGGCUUCAAUAAUAGCCCUUCCCAUCUUGCCCAUAAUUCCGUCUUCUCUACCUCGGAGAUAAUUAGGAAGAAACCUAAUUAUCUCCCAAGGUAGAGAC